rnacentral:rRNA from 1 species
CCUACGGGAGGCAGCAGUGGGGAAUCUUGCACAAUGGGGGAAACCCUGAUGCAGCGACGCCGCGUGAGUGAAGAAGUAUUUCGGUUUGUAAAGCUCUAUCAGCAGUGAAGAAAAUGACGGUACCUAAUUAACAUGCAUCGGCUAACUACGUCCCAGCAGCCGCGGGAAUACUUAGUGGGAACGCGUUCUCCGGAUUUACUGUGGGAAGAGGGAGCGUAGUCGGGAGAACAAGUCUCGAGUGAAAGGCCGGGGCUUAACCACGGAACUGCAUUGGAAACUGUGCAGCGAGAGUGCAGGAGAGGGAAGUGGAACUCCAAGUGUAGCGGUGAAAUGCGUAGAUAUUAGGAAGAACACCAGUGGCGAAGGCGGCUUACUGGACUGCAACUGACGUUGAGGCUCGAAAGCAUGGGGAGCGAACAGGAUUAGAUACCCGUGUAGUC